rnacentral:lncRNA from 1 species
CAGCAGGGUGCAGUUCUCCGCUCUGCCCUUACAAACCAUGAGCACGGACUCAGCUCCCGCCUGGAGGACAGGCGCUGCCCCAUGCUCUCUUUUCGCCCGCAGCCAACGCCAGCGGCUCGGCCGUCAGAGGCACGUUGCUGCAGCCUCUGGGCAUGCUGGGGUCCCUAAACAUGGCUGCAAAGCAAGUUCCUAGCAGAUAGGAAGGGUCUUGCCUGUCACCCUGCCCAGGGGGGCUUGACUAGCCGUGCCAGGGGCGCUGGGCUAGAGAAGAGCACCCAACUCCAGGGCCACAUCCUUAUGCCCAAAGGGGCUGUGAAAUGGGAGCCUUUGCUCUGGCAUGUCCUGGAUCAGCUCCCUCCCCUGCCCGGUGCAGAUGCUCCCAAGGGGCCAGCUGCGGCCGGCCGACCCACUCGCCCCCCCCGGCCCGGCUGGACUCCUGCCAGGUCAGGAGGUGCCACAGGCCACUGCUGCGCUCUGGCCACUCAGCUCUGCCUCUCCCGGGGUAAAUUCCUCCCACAACACCACACCACCAGCACCAGAGAAGGCUGCUCAUCUGCGCUCCUCCGGGGCAGCAGUGCCCCUGCAUGUGCUGCAUGCGCCUGCCCCCCUGCCCGAGGCGGCUCUCCGGCCAGCCCCCUGCCAUGCUAGCGACUGCCCCGGCACAGCCACCACGGGGACCCCGGGGCCGCACCCCGUCCUGUCCACUCGCUGGAGGAGCCCGCAGCCAGGCUGCCCCCCGCCCCAGCAGAGCGAGGCCGAGGGAGGUGGGGUGCCGUGCCCGGGGCCCUGCAAGCAUCCAGUGACUUCAGCCCGGCCAGCCACGGGGCUGGGAUCCUCCUGGCAUGGCCAGCGAGGUCGCGGCCUCCCUCGGAGCCAGCGCCCGGCCCACACGCGUGCCCACAGACCCACGGGACAGAGCCAGGGGCCUGCACCCACCCCACCUGGGCUGGCUCAGCGCCGGCUGGAAGAGCCCGGGGCACAGAAGGGCAGCGGCCGGAGAGGAGCCGAGGGCUGGCACCACCCUGCCCUGCCGACCGGCCGCGCGGGCUGCGGGCACGGG